rnacentral:ncRNA from 1 species
AACCACUCUGGAGAGUCUCCGUUUGGAGCGCCGAAGGUGUAACGCAAGAGCUUUUGUUCUUAUCUAUCUCUCAGGCAAAAGGACAGAGCA